rnacentral:rRNA from 1 species
UUGUUACUGGACCGUGUUCCGCAAGGAGACGGCACACCGAUCGAGUCUCUGCCCUAUCAACUAGAUUGUAGUGUAUUGGACUACAAUGGUGAUAACGGGUAACGGGGAAUUAGGGUUUUAUUCCGGAGAAGGAGCCUGAGAAACGGCUACUACUUCCAAGGAAGGCAGCAGGCGCGCAAAUUACCCAAUGUUAAUACGAUGAGAUAGUGACGAGAAAUAACGAUGUCGGCCUUUCGAGGUUGAUAAUCGUCAUGAGUACAAUGUAAAUAUCUUAACGAGGAACAAUUGGAGGACAAGUCUGGUGCCAGCACUCGCGGUAAUUCCAGCUCCAAUAGCGUAUAUUAAAGUUGUUGCAGUUAAAAAGCUCUUAGUUGAAUUGAAGGUCAAUGACUCGAGUGGUGAGCCCAACAAGGUUCAUCAUUCAGCUAUACCUGAUGUUUGGAUUGUUAUCCUGCACUUAAUUGGGUGGGGUAUUCGAUUCAGACUGUUUACCUUGAAGAAAUUGGAGUGUUUAAAGCAGGCGUUUCGUUUGAACAUGUUAGCAUGGGAUAAUGAAAUAUGACAUAGGUAGUUUCGUUGGCGUAAUUUAUACCUAUGUAAUGAUGGAUAGGGGUGGCGGGAGUGGUUGGUAUUUAGCGGCUAGAGGUGAAAUUCUUAGAUUCGCUUAAGACUCACAGAAGCGAAAGCGUUCCACGACAACACACCCGUUGAUCAAGAACGAAAGUUAGGGGAUCGAAGACGAUCAGAUACCGUCGUAGUCUUAACUAUAAACUAUGCAGACCAAGGAUUAGGCGAUGUUCGUUAACCGACUUGCCUAGGACUUUGUGGGAAACCAAUGAGUCUUUGUGUUCUGGGGGGAGUAUGGUCGCAAGGCUGAAACUUAAAGGAAUUGACGGAAGAUCACCACCAGGAGUGGAACCUGCGGCUUAAUUUGACAACACGGGAAAGCUCACUCGGACAGGACAUAGUAAGGAUUGACAGAUUGAAAGCUCUUUCUUAAUUUCUAUGGGUGGUGGUGCAUGGUCGUUCUUAGUUGGUGGAGUGAUUUGUCUGGUUAAUUCCGAUAACGAACGAGACCUCAACUUAUUAACUAGUGUUUAAAAAGUUCUAUAUGGUUGAAGUAUAUUGAAGGUGUUGGUUAGGGAAACCUGAUUCUGCAUUAACGAUAUAUGGAUGCUUGAACAUUUUUGAAUAAAUUCAAAGACUUCUUAAAAGGACUGUUGGUAUUAUAACCAAAGGAAGUGAGACAAUAACAGGUCUGUGAUGCCCUUAGAUGCCCGAGGCCGCACGCGCGUUACACUGACAAUAGCAGCGAGUUUUACCUGUCUUUAAUGGGAUGGGAAAUCUUGUGAAUUGUUGUCGUGACAGGGAUCGAUCAUUGUAAUUAUUGGUCGUGAACGAGGAAUUCCUAGUAAUCGCAAGUCAUUAGCUUGCGAUGAUUACGUCCCUGGUCUUUGUACACACCGCCCGUCGCUCCUACCGAUUGGAUGGUCCGGUGAGUUUACUGGACGUUGGGGGUUCAGCCUUUACGGGUUGUCCUGAUGAAAAGUAUGCAAACCUUACUAUCUAGAGGAAGGAGAAGUCGUAACAAGGUU